AGGACCUCGGGGGCAGUUCUGCGCCCACGUGUGGCUUUCCUACCCUGAGAGGCACCCUUGAAGAUGAGCAGAUGCUUAUGGACAAACCACCCAGGUGUAACAACUCAUUUCUAAAUGGAAAGAGAACGACCUGCUGACACCGAUAGGACCUGCUGAUGUCCAUCUCCCGGCCAUGGCAGAAGACAACAGUACAAGCCUUGAGCAGCUCACCUCCGUUGCCCUGUGCUACCCCAUGCCUGGUGAUCCUGGAGUCUCAUGCCUUCCCCAUCAUUGCUCUGGUUGUGCUCCUGUGAGCUCAAGACCCGUCUCACAUCACGUACAUCUCAGCUGGAAAGAGGAAUUAAAGAUCUUGCA
ensembl:lncRNA